GGAAGAAGAGAGGAGGAAGCGCGGGAGACGUUAGUGUGAGGCAACUGCCUCAGAAUGCUCGCUGAAGGUCUCAGAAGAAGCAAGUAAGAAAGUGUAGGCGACUCAGCACAACCCACUACCAUGAUGAGAAAAACCGCACAUGGACAGCUGACUGUGAUAAAAUUCGUCAUCAGCAGGGCCCCCUUCAAACAGUGUGAAGCAGGGGUGAGGGGAUUGCCAGAAGUCUGGGAGAAGAAGAAAGCACAAGAAGUGAAAGAGGAUCACCUACUGCGAGGCCCUAAACAAAAGACAGGUUACCAAUGCCACUCCAAAGCAGUGCAGUGUCACUGGACCAACCAGAAGAGGAGCCUGAAUGCCAGCAGGAUGCCCAAGUAGCUGCUGUGAGAUGAGGUCGUCAGCCAGACUCAGAACCAGAAGUCAAUAGUUCCAGGGACUCCUAAAAAAGACACCUCCCAUCAUCAUCAUCGUCAAGCAGGAUUUCUUCAGGCCUCAUUUGUUCAUGGGGCCGGGGAAUCAUAAGAAGCAAGAUAAACAGGUUCAUUCCCAGCUCUCCAGGA